GGUCCGAACCCACGAGCGUUGAAAAGCUCGGGGAUGACUUGUGGGUAGCGGUGAAAUUCCAAUCGAGCCCGGAGAUAGCUGGUUCUCCCCGAAAUAGCUUUAGGGCUAGCCUCAAGGUGAGAGAUACGGAGGUAGAGCACUGAAUGUCCUAGGGGGUAUUGCACCUACCGAAGACUAUCAAACUCCGAAUGCCGUCAUCUUAUACUUGGGAGUCAGACUGUGGGUGAUAAGAUUCAUAGUCGAAAGGGCAACAGCCCAGAUCGUCAGCUAAGGUCCCUAAAUGUAAGUUAAGUGGUAAAGGAUGUGGGAUUGCACAGACAACCAGGAUGUUGGCUUAGAAGCAGCCACUCAUUCAAAGAGUGCGUAAUAGCUCACUGGUCGAGUGAUCCUGCGCCGAAGAUUUCCGGGGCUAAAACUUACUACCGAAGCUACGGCAUCAGUAAUGAUGGGUAGGGGAGCUUCCCAUACGGGUUGAAGCAUGACCGUAAGGACAUGUGGACAGUAUGGGAGUGAGAAUGUUGGCAUGAGUAGCGAGAUGUGGGUGAGAAUCCCACAGGCCGUAAACCCAAGGUUUCCAGGGGAAGGUUCGUCCGCCCGGGGUUAGUCGGGACCUAAGCUGAGGCCGAAAGGCGUAGGUGAUGGACAACAGGUUGAUAUUCCUGUACUACCGAUAACCGUUUGAGAGA
rnacentral:rRNA from 1 species